rnacentral:rRNA from 1 species
GACGCACGCUGGCGGCGUGCCUAAUACAUGCAAGUAGGACGCAGUUGCGAACGGGUGAGUAACGAGUAGGUACAUGCCUCUUAGAGGGGAAUCACUAUUGGAAACGAUAGCUAAUACCGCAUACUAGUAGAUGUACCUGCGUUGUAUUAGCUAGUAGGUAGGGUAAUGGCCUACCUAGGCGACGAUACAUAGCCGCACUGAGAGGUUGAUCGGCCACACUGGGACUGAGACACGGCCCAGACGCCUACGGGAGGCAGCAGUAGGGAAUCUUCGGCAAUGGGGGGAACCCUGACCGAGCAACGCCGCGUGAGUGAAGAAGGUUUUCGGAUCGUAAAACUCUGUUGUUAGAGAAGCGGUAUCUAACCAGAAAGCCACGGCUAACUACGUGCCAGCAGCCGCGGUAAUAC